AGAUAGAGGCGUGCUCGAAAGAGAGCCGUAACACAGGUGCUGCAUGGCUGUGUCAGCUCGUGUCGUGAGAUGUUGGGUUAAGUCCCGCAACGAGCGCAACCCUUGUCAUUAGUUGCUACAUUCAGUUGGGCACUCUAAUGAGACUGCCGGUGACAAGCCGGAGGAAGUGGGGAUGACGUCAAGUCCUCAUGGCCCUUAUAGGUGGGGCUACACACGUCAUACAAUGGCUGGUACAAAGGGUUGCCAACCCGCGAGGGGGAGCUAAUCCCAUAAAGCCAGUCGUAGUCCGGAUCGUAGUCUGCAACUCGACUACGUGAAGUCGGAAUCGCUAGUAAUCGUGGAUCAGAAUGUCACGGUGAAUACGUUCCCGGGUCUU
rnacentral:rRNA from 1 species